GUGCUCGCUUUGGCAACACAUAUAUUAAAUUUGGAAUGAUACAGAGAAGAUUAGCAUGGCCUUGCACAGGAUGACAUGCAAAUUCGUGAAGAUAAUUAAUCUAAA